rnacentral:rRNA from 1 species
CAGCAGGCGCGAAAACUUUACAAUGCGGGAAACCGUGAUAAGGGGACACCGAGUGCCAGCAUCAUAUGCUGGCUGUCCGGAUGUGUAAAAUACAUCCGUUAGCAAGGGCCGGGCAAGACCGGUGCCAGCCGCCGCGGUAACACCGGCGGCCCGAGUGGUGAUCGUGAUUAUUGGGUCUAAAGGGUCCGUAGCCGGUUUGGUCAGUCCUCCGGGAAAUCUGAUAGCUCAACUAUUAGGCUUUCGGGGGAUACUGCCAGACUUGGAACCGGGAGAGGUAAGAGGUACUACAGGGGUAGGAGUGAAAUCUUGUAAUCCCUGUGGGACCACCUGUGGCGAAGGCGUCUUACCAGAACGGGUUCGACGGUGAGGGACGAAAGCUGGGGGCACGAACCGGAUUAGAUACCCGGGUAGUCCCAGCCGUAAACGAUGCUCGCUAGGUGUCAGGCAUGGCGCGACCGUGUCUGGUGCCGCAGGGAAGCCGUGAAGCGAGCCACCUGGAA